GCCAUGGUGGCAGUAGCCUCUGGAAGAAGGACAGAGCAGACAAGUCAUAAUUUACACUACAGCAGCAAGGUUCACCAGAGCACCUUAAAUGAGGGGCCCUGAAUGCCCUAAAAUGAAGGCAGCAUAAUGUAGAAUGUUGCAGCUAAGAUAUCUAGGAUCUUGGGGCAUGGGCUUAAAGCACACUAACAUGCAUUUUUCUGGGAUUUUUUUCUGGUUGCGUUAAACUUACCUGAAUGAAUUGAUUCUUUCUCCCUGCGAGGGAGGAGCUUUUGUCUGAAGACCAUAGAAAAUGCGCACACUCUUCUGGAGAUGGUCGUCUUAAACGUGCAAUUACAAAAAUGCGUUCCUUUAAUGAUUUUAGGAGAAGAAUGCACUUUCCAGAUUCCUUCAUUUUCCUUGAUUGCUGCUUCUCCUUCACCAUCUGCCCAACUCUCACCUUCUUUCUGGGUUGGAAGUGCUACAGGAUCUUUCCUUCAGACCUCAUCUGCCUCAUUUUUAAGUGUUUGCUGAAGUGGUUCAUGCAAUUCUUGGCAAGAGAUCACUCCCUGACCAUGUGACUUAGUGGAUUUCUGACACCUGUCUCUUGCUAUUUCAUCAUAUGUUGCAAACUUUUUCAUAUGAGAGUGGAAUCACUGGUGGGAAGUAUAGACUGCAUUAAUGAGUUCUGUUUUGCAGCUACUCCAUGUUUAAUGACUGACGUGCAUAUGUAUUUUAGUUUCACUUGUCCUGUCUUAUAUCUCUGUUGCUAUUUUCUGUCACACUCCCACCUUUUGCUUUUUAUGUGCAUACCAAGAAACAGAUCCAGCUGGUCUAGCAGUUAGCUGCUGCUGAAAGAGACAGAGACACUGUCGUUCUCCUGCCCUGGCUGUAUUGCAUAUUCCCACCGCUUCCCUGUUGCGUCCCUCAGUCUUUGAUUGUCAGAAUGGCAGAGGCUGGAAGGCCCCUCUGGAGAUCAUCUAGUCCACCCCCCAGCUCAAAGGAGGGUCAGCUUGAGUAGUCGGGUUUUGAAUAUCUCCGAGGAUGAAGACUCCACAACCUCUCUGGGCCACCCAUGCCAGUGUUUGACCACCCUCACAAUUUUUGUUCCUAAACGUCCCAAGAUAAAAUGAAGGAACUACAAAUGGGACAACACAUACGAGGACACCCACUGGAUACAUGGGUUUUCUGCUGUGCACAUUUUACUGAGGGCUCUAUUGAGAGAAGAACAAAACCACUGCAAAGUUCUAAGCAGGUGCUUCAUUUUAGAUACUGAAAGUGAUUCUUUGAACUUUUUUUGUCCAAAUAAAGACCAAGGGAGCACAAUGUUUUGUUUAUAAAUGUGUACACUUAGUUUCCUGUAAGAAGUGGACACCUGUGUCUGGCCUUAGCUUAUUGAAAGCCAGAGUCCUGUUAAAGCAUUACUCAUUGGAAGACCAUUCAAGUAUCACGAUUAAAGUUCAUGAUCUGCAGGUUAGACUACUGUAAUUUGAUCCGAGUUUUCCUUUAAAAUGGUGUGGGAGCUAUAGUGUUAACAAAUUACAUCUGUCUAUUGAGUUGAGGGAAGGUAAUGCAACUAAUAGUGCUCACCUCCAUCCAGUGCUAUUGUCUGGCAACCCAAUAACUACAGGUAAAAAUUCUUAUUCCUGUGUUUACAUAGGUGUUAGUAGUCUCCUUCCUGAACAAUCUUUGCUUACUGGCUGUGGCUAAUUAUUCCUCAUCCUAGAUCCAGAGGCUGUCUCUGAAUGAGGAAUUGGAAAGAGUCAACAUAGUUCAGAAAUCCCAUUUGUGUAAUGCUUUCCAAAUCCUUUUGUUACUAUAUUCAGAACAGAAAUAAUUGAUUUAUUUAGUUACUAUGACUUCUAUCUUUUAUCAUAAUAUUUUGGAUUAUUUUUUAUUGUUUUGCAGGAUGCUUUGCUUUGCUGUGAGAAUAGCUGAUUUCUUGGCUAAAUGUAGUUUUUAUUUUUAUGUAGCUAGCUUAAUAGCCAUGGUUUCCACAAUCUGUAUUUUGAUAGCACUGUGACAGUGCAGGUUAUAUCUAUGCCAGUUAACAAAUCCUAUAGUGUUCUGUCACUGAAAACAGACUGAGACAUGCCCAACCUGUUGUACUGCAUUCAUUCGGGUGACCUGCCCCAAAAGUUAUUUGACACAUCAGUAAAGAAGAAAUACUGAAAGCAACUGGAUCCAGUUUUUCUGAUGUCUCUGCCUGCCCAGCCCCUCUGAACGAGAUAUUUUUCUACAACAAAGAAUUAUCAGGUGGGAUAAGAAUUGUAUGGUAUGAAUGCAUGAGUCAAAUUUCUUUAAGAGGAGAAAGCAGUUAAUGCCUCCCAAUAGACAGUGCAGAGAGACAUUAUGGAUGAGAUAAGGUUUCUGCUCUGUAUGAAGUAGUUAGGGAGAGAGCUCAGCCAUCAACACAAGAAAAAGGACCUGUAUAACAAAGAAGGUAGGGUGACUGUAUCCAGCUGAAAUAUUAACAAACUUGAGAGUGUUAUGAAAUAUGAGAUAAGAAUGGGGUGGGACUGGGCAUCUCAGAACUGUCAUUAAA